rnacentral:rRNA from 1 species
GACGAACGCUGGCGGCGUGCUUAACACAUGCAAGUCGAACGGAAAGGCCCUGCUUUUGUGGGGUGCUCGAGUGGCGAACGGGUGAGUAACACGUGAGUAACCUGCCCUUGACUUUGGGAUAACUUCAGGAAACUGGGGCUAAUACCGGAUAGGAGCUCCUGCUGCAUGGUGGGGGUUGGAAAGUUUCGGCGGUUGGGGAUGGACUCGCGGCUUAUCAGCUUGUUGGUGGGGUAGUGGCUUACCAAGGCUUUGACGGGUAGCCGGCCUGAGAGGGUGACCGGCCACAUUGGGACUGAGAUACGUCCCAGACUCCUCCGGGAGGCAGCAGUGGGGAAUAUUGCACAAUGGGCGGAAGCCUGAUGCAGCAACGCCGCGUGCGGGAUGACGGCCUUCGGGUUGUAAACCGCUUUCGCCUGUGACGAAGCGUGAGUGACGGUAAUGGGUAAAGAAGCACCGGCUAACUACGUG